rnacentral:misc_RNA from 1 species
ACUUGACCGCGGUACUAUAGCAUCUGUAGCGGUGCAUUCCGUGUCAAAUUGCGGUCUGUACUUGCAGUUAAUGUAGAAACAAGCGAGAUUCAUAAAGGCAUGAUGUUUGGCUACUUGCAGAAUGCGUGGCAGGAUGAAGCUAGAUUCAUGAAUCUUCUGAGUUAUACAUUCAUAGUUCUAUCUGUUUUUGUCGUCUGUAUUCUUGGAUAUGUUAGUGCCCCUUAUGGGCGUUAUUCGCGGCCAGGAUGGGGUCCACUCAUUCCAGUCAGGCUAGCAUGGUUUCUUCAAGAGCUUCCAUCGCUUCUGAUGCCAUUGUAUAUACUAUGCUUUACCGAGUGUCCAAGAGCUGGUGAAUGGAAGAACAAAGUAGCUUUAGGAUUGUUUAUUUUCCAUUAUAUUCAGAGAACCUUUAUAUUUCCAUUCCUUAUUAGAGGUGGAAAACCAACUUCAUUGGCAGCAUUUGUGUCGGCUGUUAUGUUUUGUGUUGCAAAUGGAUACCUGCAAGGAGGUUAUCUGCUCAAAUUUGCAGAUUUUCAGAAUGUUUGUGAUGCACAGUUUUAUGCAGGUUUGUUGUUAUUUCUUUCUGGGUUUGCAAUCAACAUUCAUUCUGAUCACAUCCUACGAAACUUGCGUAGAGGUAGUGAAACCGAGUACAAGAUCCCUCAUGGUGGAAUGUUUGAAUAUGUGUCUGGAGCAAAUUUCUUUGGAGAGAUUUUAGAAUGGUUUGGAUUUGCAAUAAUGAAUAAUACCCUACCUGCCUUUGCCUUUUUUGUCUUCACUUUGUGCAACACUGGACAACGUGCUUGUCAUCAUCACCGGUGGUAUCAAAAGAAGUUUGAAGACUAUCCUAAAAAGAGGAAAGCACUGAUACCAUUCUUGCUAUAAAGAGGGCAUUGGCUGGUUCUGUGGUGCACAGUCGUUUCUGAAAACAAGAAAUUGAUAGAGUUCUGCUCAUCAGCAGAGAACGUUCAACGCACUAAAUGCCCUUCGUCUCCUCCUGGUACUUGGAAGCUGGCACUAGAACGACGACGACGAAGGUGGAGACCAGUGUGAUGAGCAUGAAGAUCCAGAAC